GCGAAAGUGGCGGAAUUGGCAUACGCACUAGGCUUAGAACCUAGCACCGCAAGGUAUGGGGGUUCAACUCCCCCCUUUCGCA
rnacentral:tRNA from 1 species